AAAGGGAAUAAAUAAGUAUUUUAAAAACACAGCAAGAUACCACUUCCCACCUACUAGGAUGGUAUAAUUGCCCCCCUUCUCCCUGCCUGUAGGAAGCGGCUUCACAGCAGGGUCUGCAUGUGUUUGUGUGUCUCUCCCUCCCUAAUCUCCCCUCUCAAUUUCUCUCUGUCUCCUAUCAAAUAGAAAGGGGGAAAAAAAAAAGGAAAAAUGACUACCAGGAGCAGUGGAUUCAUCUUAUAGUCACUGAGACCCAGCGAGACAGAGAAAGCAAGGUGGAAGGGCAGAUAAUGGAAAGAGAGACAUCUGCAGUACUUGCUGCACCAACUGUGAGGCUUCCCCACCACAGGCAGAGACUGGGGGCUUGAGCCCAGAUCCUUGUGCACAGUGACACAUGCACUCAACCAGGCGCACCACCACCAAUUUUGUAGCUUAAGCAACUGGUAAAGCUAAUGGGACACUCACCUCUCUCUCUGACUCAUCCUCUUCUUCCAAAAGAUCAUAAAC